GUGGGGAAUCUUGCGCAAUGGGCGAAAGCCUGACGCAGCCAUGCCGCGUGAAUGAUGAAGGUCUUAGGAUUGUAAAAUUCUUUCACCGGGGACGAUAAUGACGGUACCCGGAGAAGAAGCUCCGGCUAACUUCGUGCCAGCAGCCGCGGUAAUACGAAGGGGGCUAGCGUUGCUCGGAAUUACUGGGCGUAAAGGGCGCGUAGGCGGACAGCUUAGUCAGAGGUGAAAGCCCAGGGCUCAACCUUGGAAUUGCCUUUGAUACUGGCUGUCUUGAGUUUGGGAGAGGUGAGUGGAACUCCGAGUGUAGAGGUGAAAUUCGUAGAUAUUCGGAAGAACACCAGUGGCGAAGGCGACACACUGGCUCAUUACUGACGCUGAGGCGCGAAAGCGUGGGGAGCAAACAGGAUUAGAUACCCGUGUAGUCC
rnacentral:rRNA from 1 species